rnacentral:rRNA from 1 species
CCUACGGGCGGCAGCAGUGAGGAAUAUUGGUCAAUGGACGAGAGUCUGAACCAGCCAAGUAGCGUGAAGGAUGACUGCCCUAUGGGUUGUAAACUUCUUUUAUAUGGGAAUAAAACGUUCCACGUGUGGGAUUUUGUAUGUACCAUAUGAAUAAGGAUCGGCUAACCCCGUGCCAGCAGCCGCGGUAAUACGGAGGAUCCGAGCGUUAUCCGGAUUUAUUGGGUUUAAAGGGAGCGUAGGUGGAUUGUUAAGUCAGUUGUGAAAGUUUGCGGCUCAACCGUAAAAUUGCAGUUGAAACUGGCAGUCUUGAGUACAGUAGAGGUGGGCGGAAUGCGUGGUGUAGCGGUGAAAUGCUUAGAUAUCACGAAGAACUCCGAUUGCGAAGGCAGUUCACUGGACUGCAACUGACACUGAGGCUCGAAAGUGUGGGUAUCAAACAGGAUUAGAUACCCCUGUAGUC